GAUGAACGCUAGCGGCAGGCCUAACACAUGCAAGUCGAGGGGUAGAACACUUCGGUGUUUGAGACCGGCGCACGGGUGCGUAACGCGUAUGCAAUCUACCUUGUACAGGGGAAUAGCCCAGAGAAAUUUGGAUUAAUGCCCCAUAGUAUAUAACCUUCGCAUGUUGGUUAUAUUAAAGUUCCAACGGUACAAGAUGAGCAUGAGUCCCAUUAGUUAGUUGGUAAGGUAACGGCUUACCAAGACGAUGAGGGGUAGGGGUCCCGAGAGGGAGAUCCCCCACACUGGUACUGAGACACGGACCAGACUCCUACGGGAGGCAGCAGUGAGGAAUAUUGGUCAAUGGGCGCAAGCCUGAACCAGCCAUGCCGCGUGCAGGAAGACGGUCCUAUGGAUUGUAAACUGCUUUUAUACAGGAAGAAACCCUCCCACGUGUGGGAGAUUGACGGUACUGUAGGAAUAAGGAUCGGCUAACUCCGUGCCAGCAGCCGCAGUAAUAC
rnacentral:rRNA from 1 species